rnacentral:rRNA from 1 species
GACGAACGCUGGCGGCGUGCUUAACACAUGCAAGUCGAACGGAAAGGCCCCUUUGGGGGUACUCGAGUGGCGAACGGGUGAGUAACACGUGCGUAACCUGCCCUUGACUUCGGGAUAACUUCAGGAAACUAGGGCUAAUACCGGAUAGGAAUCCUUGCUGCAUGGUGGGGGUUGGAAAGCUUCGGCGGUUUUGGAUGGACUCGCGGCUUAUCAGCUUGUUGGUGGGGUAGUGGCUUACCAAGGCUUUGACGGGUAGCCGGCCUGAGAGGGCGACCGGCCACAUUGGGACUGAGAUACGGCUCUGACUCCUACGGGAGGCAGCAGUGGGGAAUAUUGCACAAUGGGCGGAAGCCUGAUGCAGCAACGCCGCGUGCGGGAUGACGGCCUUCGGGUUGUAAACCGCUUUCAGCAGGGGCGAAGCUUUUGUGACGGUACCUGCAGAAGAAGCACCGGCUAACUACGUG